UACAGAGGGUGCAAGCGUUAAUCGGAUUUACUGGGCGUAAAGCGCGCGUAGGCGGCUAAUUAAGUCAAAUGUGAAAUCCCCGAGCUUAACUUGGGAAUUGCAUUCGAUACUGGUUAGCUAGAGUGUGGGAGAGGAUGGUAGAAUUCCAGGUGUAGCGGUGAAAUGCGUAGAGAUCUGGAGGAAUACCGAUGGCGAAGGCAGCCAUCUGGCCUAACACUGACGCUGAGGUGCGAAAGCAUGGGGAGCAAAC
rnacentral:rRNA from 2 species